rnacentral:tRNA from 2 species
CGGGUAGUAGCGCAGUUGGUAGCGCACUAGGUUCGGGACUUAGAUGUCGUGGGUUCAAAUCCCGCCUACCCGA